GGUUUAUAUAGUUUAUAUUAAAAUAUUGAAUUGCAAAUUCAAAGAAGCAUUAAGGUGUUUAAACUU
rnacentral:tRNA from 1 species